AUGCUCUCCUUUUGUUACAGUGCAGGCUCGUGCACCUGUUUUCCUUUUCCCCUUCGAUGGGGUCGUUCAGUUGAGGUGAAGCAAGCAAGCACCUCCCCGUGCCUUGCAUACCAAGGAGAGAGCGAGCCAUUGCAGAGGAGAGGGGAUACGAGGGUGGGCAGAGGUCAGGCAUUGCUAACAGAUUUGCGGCGGAGUGGGAAGCCGGCGCCUCAUCACUGGCUCCUGUUUGGCAUCGGCAAAGAGAAAGCUGCCGAGGAUGUGUUGCUCUAUGCACUGCUGUCGAAGUACAUCCUUGCUAUGAUGUAUUUUUCAGUGGCUUUCUCCAUUAGAAUGUUUCUCGUCAACGACCAUAUCAACCUGUCUGGUGUUCGCACAUGUCAUUUUGGUUGA
rnacentral:rRNA from 1 species